rnacentral:lncRNA from 1 species
GCUGACGUCACUACCCUGGCUUGGAGAGGCUGUUGCUGAGCCGGCUCCAACCGGCUGGAAGGCGGGAAGCUGUUUCGCCUGGAGGCUCGCGCGCUUUUUGGAAUUCAGUUAUCAAGCUUUAGAGCCUGGCUACUCACAGUUGAAGCCUGAUUGCAGGGUUCUUUUAACUCUUCUCUCCACACCCGCACUGGAGACCACUGGUAACCAUCUGUGGCCAUCACCUAAACUCUCACCCAGGUUGAUUUGUACAAAUAGCACAAGAGGACACCAACUCCAUGCAGAUGGCAGCCCAGCAGGUCACACCAGUCCUUCUGUCCUCACACUGGCAGACAGAGGCCUCCUCUCUGGAGUCUUCACAGGGGCCUGAGCUAGAGCUGGAAAUGCAGCUGGAGCUGCAGCCAAAGCUGGGGCUGCAGGGCCUUGAUUUGAGACUUGGCCUUGGUCUUGGGUGGGCAGAGAGUAAUUUAGCUCUCUCCUGGUUUCUUCAAUUUUGUAUCUUCACACCUGAAAUUCCGUUCAUCUAAUAAUCUACUUCCAUUAGAAGAAAACUGCCAUCAUGAACGGCACGGUAACUAUCCGCGUUAGAAAGUUCAUGUCCAACCGACUACUUCAGAGGAAACAAAUGGUCAUUGAUGUCCUUCACCCUGGGAAGGCAACAGUGCCUAAGACAGAAAUUCAGGGAAAACUAGCCAAAAUGUACAAGACCAUACCGGAUGUCAUCUUUGUAUUUGGAUUCAGAGCUCAUUUUGGCGGUGGCAAGACAACUGGCUUUGGCAUGAUUUAUGAUUCCCUGGAUUAUGCAGAGAAAAAUGAAUCCAAACAUUGACUUGCAAGACAUGGCCUUUGUGAGAAGAAAAAGACCUCAAGAAAGCAACGAAAGGAACGCAAGAACAGAAUGAAGACAGUCAGGGGAAGUGCAAAGGCCAGUGCUGGUGCUGGCAAAAAGCCGAAGGAGUAAAGGUGCUGCAAUCAUGUUAUUUGUGGCUGUUGUGGAUUUUUCACAAGAAGAUUAAUAAACUAUAAACUUUAAAAAGUAAAGAUCUAUCUUAUUUGUUUUAAUGCUGCAAUGUAUUCCAUUUUAUGGCUGUACCAUAGUCACUUAUCUAAACCCUCUAAGGUACAUAUUUCUUUCUUUCUUUUUUUUUUUUUUUGAGAUGGAGUU